UAGGAAUUGAUCUCCACAAGGUUACCAGAAACCUCAUCAAAUAUAUUAAAUGUUUUUCAGCCUGAAUCUUUACUGGAAUUCUCUUCAGCUCUUAAGACUGAUUCUAGCAGAUCUUGCAUCCCCAAACCUCUUGUGCCAUGCAAACAAACUCACCAAGGCUACUGGGAGACCACGUGGCACAGAGAUGAGUCAUCCAGUCCCAGUUCCAACCUGCCUAGGACUUGAUUAUACAUGCAGCAAGACAACCUGAGACCAGAAGAUCCUUGUGACUGAGCCCAGUUAAGCAAAUUAUUACUGUGAAUUAAAUUAAUAGUUGUUUCAUUCCUAAACUUGUUUUUUGUUUGUUUGUUAUGCAACAAAAGCUAGCUGAUGCUUCUUUCAGUAAAUACAGCAGUAAGAACGAACACAACUUACAUGUGCUAAGCACUGCAGGUAGCAUUUCACAUUCUUUCCAAUCUUUAGAACAACUCAGCAGAGAAAUUAUUAGCUCCCUUUUACAGACAGGGAAGAAAAAUAUAUUUCAAGAUUUAAAAUAACUGUUCACAGUUGUAUGCUAAUAAGAAUACAAAUAAAACUUGAAUUA